UACGUAGGGUGCAAGCGUUAAUCGGAAUUACUGGGCGUAAAGCGUGCGCAGGCGGUUUUGUAAGUCUGUCGUGCAAGCCCCGGGCUCAACCUGGGAAUUGCGAUGGAGACUGCAAGGCUUGAAUCUGGCAGAGGGGGGUAGAAUUCCACGUGUAGCAGUGAAAUGCGUAGAGAUGUGGAGGAACACCGAUGGCGAAGGCAGCCCCCUGGGCCAAGAUUGACGCUCAUGCACGAAAGCGUGGGG
rnacentral:rRNA from 1 species